rnacentral:lncRNA from 1 species
GGGGUAAAUACAAACAAAAGGGAAAACAAGUGGUUUGGGUUCAGAGCCAAUAUCAUUAUUCUUUUCACUGUGUUUGUUCUACAUCUCAUUUCCAAUUCUUUUCUUUUUCAGUUUUUUAUUGCUCAGUUCUCAUUUUUUUUCUUUGAAUUUCUCUUCUUUUUUUUUCACCUGGGUAUUUCUCAUUCGGUGAGUGCUUUUCUCAUUCCAU